rnacentral:rRNA from 1 species
GUGGAUUAGAUACCCUGGUAGUCCACGCCCUAAACGAUGUCAACUAGUUGUUGGUAGAGUAAAAUCUAUGAGUAACGUAGCUAACGCGUGAAGUUGACCGCCUGGGGAGUACGGUCGCAAGAUUAAAACUCAAAGGAAUUGACGGGGGCCCGCACAAGCGGUGGAUUAUGUGGAUUAAUUCGAUGCAACGCGAAAAACCUUACCUGGCCUUGACAUGUACCGAAUUGAGCAGAGAUGUUCAAGUGCUCGAAAGAGAACGGUAACACAGGUGCUGCACGGUUGUCGACAACU